GUUAUUUGCGUAUGAUAGU
rnacentral:sRNA from 1 species